AGUGAACGCUGGCGGUAGGCCUAACGCAUGCAAGUCGAACGGCAGCACAGUAAGAGCUUGCUCUUACGGGUGGCGAGUGGCGGACGGGUGAGGAAUACAUCGGAAUCUACUUUUUCGUGGGGGAUAACGUAGGGAAACUUACGCUAAUACCGCAUACGACCUACGGGUGAAAGCAGGGGAUCUUCGGACCUUGCGCGAUUGAAUGAGCCGAUGUCGGAUUAGCUAGUUGGCGGGGUAAAGGCCCACCAAGGCGACGAUCCGUAGCUGGUCUGAGAGGAUGAUCAGCCACACUGGAACUGAGACACGGUCCAGACUCCUACGGGAGGCAGCAGUGGGGAAUAUUGGACAAUGGGCGCAAGCCUGAUCCAGCCAUACCGCGUGGGUGAAGAAGGCCUUCGGGUUGUAAAGCCCUUUUGUUGGGGAAGAAAAGCAGCAGGUUAAUACCCCGCUGUUCUGACGGUACCCAAAGAAUAAGCACCGGCUAACUUCGUG
rnacentral:rRNA from 1 species